AGCGAACGCUGGCGGCAGGCCUAACACAUGCAAGUCGAACGAAGCCUUCGGGCUUAGUGGCGGACGGGUGAGUAACACGUGGGAACGUGCCUUUAGGUUCGGAAUAACUCAGGGAAACUUGUGCUAAUACCGAAUGUGCCCUUCGGGGGAAAGAUUUAUCGCCUUUAGAGCGGCCCGCGUCUGAUUAGCUAGUUGGUGAGGUAAAGGCUCACCAAGGCGACGAUCAGUAGCUGGUCUGAGAGGAUGAUCAGCCACAUUGGGACUGAGACACGGCCCAAACUCCUACGGGAGGCAGCAGUGGGGAAUCUUGCGCAAUGGGCGAAAGCCUGACGCAGCCAUGCCGCGUGAAUGAUGAAGGUCUUAGGAUUGUAAAAUUCUUUCACCGGGGACGAUAAUGACGGUACCCGGAGAAGAAGCCCCGGCUAACUUCGUGCCAGCCGCCGCGGUAACAC
rnacentral:rRNA from 1 species